CCCUUAGAUGUUCUGGGCCGCACGCGCGCUACACUGAAGGGAUCAGCGUGUUUUCCCUUUCCGAGAGGAACGGGUAACCCGCUGAACCCCCUUCGUGGUAGGGAUCGGAGCUUGCAAUUGUUCUCCGUGAACCAGGAAUUCCCAGUAAGCGCAAGACAUAAGCUUGCGUUGAUUACGUCCCUGCCCUUUGUACACACCGCCCGUCGCUACUACCGAUUGAACGUUUUAGUGAGGUAUUUGGACUGGGCCUUGGGAGGUUUCGGCCUCCCUUGUUGCUCGGAAAGACUCCCAAACUUGAGCGUUUAGAGGAAGUAAAAGUCGUAACA
rnacentral:rRNA from 1 species